rnacentral:rRNA from 1 species
AUUGAACGCUGGCGGCAAGCCUAACACAUGCAAGUCGAACGAGGGGCGGACGGGUGAGUAAUGUCUGGGAAACUGCCUGAUGGAGGGGGAUAACGACUGGAAACGGUAGCUAAUACCGCUUACCAUCAGAUGUGCCGAGAUGGGAUUAGAUAGUAGGUGGGGUAAAGGCUCACCUAGGCAACGAUCCCUAGCUGGUCUGAGAGGAUGACCAGCCGCACUGGCACUGAGACACGGUCCAGAGUCCUACGGGAGGCAGCAGUGGUGAAUAUUACAACCUGGGCGAAAGCCUGAUGCAGCAAUGCCGCGUGUAGGAAGAAGGCCUUCGGGUUGUAAAGUACUUUCAGCGGGGAGGCGCUACCUGCAGAAGAAGCACCGGCUAACUCCGUGCCAGCCGCCGCGGUCAUAC